rnacentral:rRNA from 1 species
UGCCAGCAGCCGCGGUAAUACGGAGGGGGUUAGCGUUGUUCGGAAUUACUGGGCGUAAAGCGCACGUAGGCGGGAUGUCAAGUCAGGGGUGAAAGGCCUGGGCUCAACCUGGGAACUGCCUUUGAAACUGACAUUCUGGAGUCCGGGAGAGGAUGGCGGAAUUCCCAGUGUAGAGGUGAAAUUCGUAGAUAUUGGGAAGAACACCGGUGGCUAAGGCGACCACCUGGCUCGGAUCUGACGCUUAGGUGCGAAAGCGUGGGGAGCAAACAGGAUUAGAUA